GCCGCGUGUGCCGGACGGCCGCACAGGUCGCAUCCGUGACGGGCGAUGGUCGGCUGCCGGCCGGCUGCGGUACGGGACCGCAGGGCGGCG
rnacentral:tRNA from 1 species